rnacentral:misc_RNA from 1 species
UCUCCGUUGGUGAACCAGCGGAGGGAUCAUUACCGAGUUUACAACUCCCAAACCCCUGUGAACAUACCAUUUGUUGCCACGGCGGUGCCUGCUUCGGCAGCCCGCCAGAGGACCCAAACCCUUGAUUUUAUACAGUAUCUUCUGAGUAAAUGAUUAAAUAAAUCAAAACUUUCAACAACGGAUCUCUUGGUUCUG